rfam:Cyberlindnera jadinii NRRL Y-1542 unplaced genomic scaffold CYBJAscaffold_5, whole genome shotgun sequence.
AUACUUACCUUAAGACGUCACCAGUGAUCAAGAAGCCUGCGUGGCCAGUGUUUCCCGUUUGCAUUGCACCAAGCAUCUCGUAAACACUGCUGACAUUCCCUCGGGAAUGGGUGGGUCUUAUAAUUUUUGAUUUCAAUC